GACCCCUCCUGUGCGGAAGCUAACNCANUAAGUAGCCCCGCCUGGGGAGUACGGUCNCAAGACUAAAAACUCAAAGGAAUUGACGGGNACCCCGCACAAGCCAGCGGNGCGUGUGGUUUAAUUCGAUGCAACGCGAAGAACCUUACGUGGGCUUGACAUCUAUUUGCAACACUCUGAAAGGGGUGCCUCCUUCGGGACAGAUAGACAGAUGCUGCAUGGCUGUCGUCAGCUCGUGUCGUGAGAUGUUGGGUUAAGUCCCGCAACGAGCGCAACCCUUGUCCUUAGUUGCAUAUCUAAGGAGACUGCCGGUACAAAACCGGAGGAAGGUGGGGAUGACGUCAAGUCAGCAUGGCUCUUACGUCCCAGGGCUACACACACGCUACAAUGGACAGUACAAUGAGAAGCCACCCUGUGAAGGGGAGCGGACCUCGUAAAGCUGUCCUCAGUUCAGAUUGCACUCUGCAACUCGAGUGCAUGAAGGUGGAGUUGCUAGUAACCGCGUGUCAGCAUAGCGCGGUGAAUAUGUUCCCGGGUCUUGUACACACCGCCCGUCACGUCAUGGGAGUUGGCAACACCUGAAGUCCAUGAGCUAACCCUUCGUAAGAAGGGGAGCAGUGGCCGAAGGUGGGGCUGAUGACUGGGACGAAGUCGUAACCAAGGUACC
rnacentral:rRNA from 1 species